UACGAAGGGGGCUAGCGUUGCUCGGAAUCACUGGGCGUAAAGCGCACGUAGGCGGGCUCUUAAGUCGGUGGUGAAAUCCUGGAGCUCAACUCCAGAACUGCCUUCGAUACUGAGAGGCUUGAGUCCGGGAGAGGUGAGUGGAACUGCGAGUGUAGAGGUGAAAUUCGUAGAUAUUCGCAAGAACACCAGUGGCGAAGGCGGCUCACUGGCCCGGUACUGACGCUGAGGUGCGAAAGCGUGGGGAGCAAACAGG
rnacentral:rRNA from 1 species